rnacentral:lncRNA from 1 species
AUGUUUAAAUCUUGGUUAAAUAGCAAGGAAAUCGGAACGUCAAGCAGACAAGCUAAUGGCGAUACGCGUUUGAAGGGGGCGCUUGGAAGUUUCUAGGUAUUGCAAGUGUACGGAUGGUGAUCAAGCAAGUUUUUGAAGAACCGAACACAACUUUUGAAGCUUCCGCAAUUUCAUAACUUUGUAAAUAAAAAAAAUGUUUCUAUUUCUUUUGAAUGUAAAUAUGCUGCAAAUCAGGUCAUGAAUGUUUUAACUAGUCGUUGGUUGACUAGUUUUA